UCACCCCAUCCUCACUCUUAAACCUUGAAAAAUCAUUAUAUAACAUUCCGGCGACAAUCGUAUUCUAGCGCUCUGUGACCGUCGAUGGGAGCAAAACAUAAUUUCGAGUCAAUGGCCUGUGUGUAUAUUCCGGUACAAAACUUGGAGGAGGAGCUACGAGUGGCGCUCGACGAACUUCCUAGAGACGCAACUGAUAUCCUUGAGCCGAACAAGUGCCUCUCGAUCUCAUUUCACCAUUUAUAGUUCCAUUACAGAGUUCAGAACUAUGAACAUGUUCUAAGCAACAAUCAGUGUGCUAUAUUUCAUGGGUUUAUUCAUUGGGAGGUCUAGUGGAAUCAAGAGCUACCAGUGCAGCUUCUUAGUGGGAAGCAAGUUGAGGAGGCAUUCUCGGAUGCAAGGAAUUCCAUUCCAGUUUCCGCACACCUCAGGGUGGUCUAUCCCUCAACAUCAAUGUGUCUACAACCAUGAUCAUCCAGCCUGGGCCGGUGGUUGAUUUUCUGAUUGCAAACCAAAACGUGAAAGAUCCCUAUUCUAUUGACUGGGAAAAGGCAAAGCGCACACUGAAGAAUCUGAGGGUGAAAACCAGGCCUACCAAUACUGAGUACAAGAUCACAGGUUUGAGUGAGAAGCCCUGCAACGAGCAGCUGUAUGUCUUCUUUUUAUGUUAUGGAAUCAUAGAAGGAAUGGAAUGGAAUGGACCAUUCCUGAACGGAUGUGAUUCUUUCCAUUUUCUGUUCAUUCCAUAAAGGAUUGUUGUGCUCAUUGGUCUCUCUGCAACGCUAUACAAAAGCACUUAACACGAUGCAAAGAUCGUCUUUGGUGGAGAAAUCCCGACAAAAACCUCAAGAAAGAAUGAGGGUUUUAACCGAUGCACUAUCACUCAAUAAGUAUGAUGAUGAACCUUUGUUGAAAUCAUGUGGGGUUUCAAAAAGCAACAACUUCACAGUCUAUGGUGUUGCAAAUCCAACUGUGGUGUUGCAAAUCCAACUUUGGAAGGAAUUAAAUAUCUUAUGAUUAUGGCUCUCACAUUAGGAUCUGCUUAAUAAAUUGAAAAAUGGAAUUGAUGUUCAAGAUUUUGACAACACAAAAUCUGUUUCACUUAGCUCUGGGGAUCUAAUUGCUCAGGCAAAGAAAUUUGAGGGACCUCUAUCUGUGAAGGCUAAUGUAGUUGUUGAAGCUUUGGAAGGGAAGGUAAUUUUUUGUAUGCUUUCCAAAUGCCAAUAAAACAAUGUGAAUAUUUUUCUUGUACUUGUGAGUAUUUUGAAUCAUACUUAUUUUAAUAUUUUAAUGAAACAAUUACAAAAUAUCAAUUAGUAACUUAUUUAUUAACCUUAUUAUACAGUCUGAUCUCUGAUGUUUUGUCCAAUGGUUUUUGUGACAACAUGUUGAAGCAUAUAUGACAACACUAAGAGCAUUUGCAGAUGAGUGGUAAGUUGCAAGAAUACUAAUUAUCCAAAUAAAGAUAACCUCGCCCUCAAGACACUUACAUCUACUAAGAGAAGGGGCCCCACUAGAUUCCGCUUUCUUUUCACACGAAUCAGGAACAAAGUCAAAACAAAAAAAAAGUCAAACGUCCUUCUAAUUCUUACAAAAAUAGGGGCUGGAAGAAUCCUCCAUCAGGCAGCAGCUGCAGCAAUGAGAAGAUUGUUGACUUUGUCAAAGCACUUUGUAAGGUUUAUAUGGGGGAGCUAUAGUCUACUUCUACUCCACAAGUUUUCAGCCUAACAAAGAUAGUUGAAAUCUCUACCCUAGCUCCAAAGCAACUUGUUUGGUGUGGAAUGGACAAUGUAUUGCUGUAUUGGGAUUAUAUGCUUCUGAUGGUGGGCCCUUGUGGAGAUCCAGUUUUCUAUCUUUAUGAUGAACCCGUUAUCCUUAUCCCAGAAUGUGAUGGAGCUAGAAUAUUGUCUAACUCAAACAUUGAGUUUCUUCAAAGGGUCCCAGCUUCUACUGAAUCUAUCUUCAAGAUUGGGAGCACAGAACCAACAACUUUAUUGUAUGAUGCUUUGGAUCAUUUUGAUAGGAGGAAUGCAAAGGUAGGGCGUCACUUUGAUCUUUGAAUUAGAUUUUACAUUUCUUUCUUUCCUUCUAACUUCCAAUAUCAAUUUAUUACAUUUCUUUCUUUCCUUCUAAAACUAGUAAUUCUUGAGUUUGCUGAAGGGAGAGCAUUAGGGAAAUCAGGGUUAAGAUGGUUGAGGAUACAUUUAGCAAUUCUUUAUGGAGCUGGAGUUGAAAAGCGUUCAUAUGAUUGUAGAUUACAAUUUGUGGAAAAUCAUCUGAAUGAUAUUAUUGAUUCAGCAGAUAAUCCACUUGGUGGAAAUAGAUGGCGGUUAACAGCUAAGGACCCUUUUUAGUGCUUAGCUGCAUGUAUUAAUUUGUCAGAAAUCCUAAAAAGUUCUUCACCUCAUACUGUCAUUUCACAUUUUCCAGUUCAUCAGGUAAAUAAUUUUGUGGUGUUUAUGUUAAAUGAUGUUUAAAAAGGUAUUUGAGAAGAUCAUGAAAAAUUUGGUGAAAUGAGAGGAAAAAAGUAUAGGGUUAUUUUAUUGAUUUGUUUGUUAAAGUACAAUUAUCUUAAAUAGAAAAAAGUAAGCCUGAGGCUGUUGAAGUCUGUGUAGAUGCUGCAAGACAUGAGUUUGAUCCUUCACUGCAACAGACACUACCGAGAGUUGCAAGCUAUGGGCAAGCAUUUUGUAGGUAAGUUUUCCAUCUGUUGGGAGAAGAUAUAUAUUGUGAUAAUAGUAGGAUAUGGUGAACAAUCAUCUAUAUAUUUGAUUUGUCCACUUGAUGUUUGAAGGCUUGAAAUAACUUUAUUGAAUGCAAGUGAAGUCUUUUAUGUAACAUAUGUUGGUCUCGAACUAGUAAUCAUCCUUUUGCCAUAAUGUUAAGCUUUCUUUAAGAAAUGAGAGAAGCUGAUAAUGUUAAGCUUAUAAAUGGUGGUGGUAUAAGAUUUAUCUUUCUUUGAUUGGUCACGUGCUCCUCACACUCACGGCCCACCUUCAAGAAAAUCAAGACCUAAUGAUGUAAGUCAUUCCCAUUCUCUUUUCAUGAUCAAAUGAACUUUCUACCCCUGUUUAUGCACACACAGUUGAUAGAUAGCCAACAUGCUGAAUUAUUAAACCACUUAUAACUUAUUAAUCCUUUUAUAUAAAACUAACAUUAUAUAUUUAUAUAUUCUUCUCAUUUCACCUUUAUUAGCAUUCAACUUAUGAGGAGUCUGUUACAAAAAUAUUAGAUGACUGGUAAAUUUUUCCAUUUAUUUUUUAUUUUUAUAUAUUUUAUAAUCUGAGACAUUUGAUGUAAUUUUUUUGUUUUCGGUAUGCAAGAUGUUAUAGUCUACUACCCUUCAAGAGUGUAGGUAUCUAAAAAAUUCAGAAGAGAAUUUAAAUCUCCAAAUCACAGAUGAAAUUUGGGAAAAUCUUGAUAGUAGAAUGGAUGAUAGAAGAAUUUCGCUAUUUUCUGCUUGUGGGCGGCUUGUAAUUUCAAGUGAUGGAGUCUGGGAUGCUCUUUCCACUGAAUCAGCUCUGGAAUGCAGUCGUGGAUUGGCUUUGGAAUCAGCAACAGCACAAAUUGUCAAAGUACGGAAACAAAAAAAAAGUUAAAUUUGUAAUAAAAUAUUAUGCAAUGGAUUCUCUUUUUGUAUGACAUUAAAUUUUAUGAAAUGGAUUAUAUAUUUUGUAUAUGA